AUUUGCUUUUUCCUAUUUAGCUAAAAAGAUUAAAUAAUUAAUUAUAUAUAACCAUAAAAAUGUGUUUAUUCGAUAACGAACUGAGGGCAACAGGUUGUAAAAACAGUAUACGUUCGGAGAACUCUACUUAAAACCGUUACCUGCUUUCAAAAACCUACCUAAAGAAAAGUUUAAACAUUUAAACACCGCGUAUAUAAUGCGUAUCUACCGACAACUUUAUUCGACAAACGAUUGUGGGUGUCGAUACGUAGUGUCUGCAAUGGUUCGCACUUCUAAAAAUAAGACGUUCUAAAUAUAGAGAUGCUUCCGUUACGUUUGUGCGUGCUUUAUACGCGAAAUUAGUCGCGGGCCGUCAUGGAAAGUCGAAUAAACGCGGAACUGAUGUUUGAGUGUCUGAUUUACCUAAACAUGUUUUACUUCCCAGUAUUCGCUACUUGCGAAACCAUAAUAACGGUUGCCAAAUACUUUUACGCCGGCAUUUUCACACCCAACAUUAAGCAAGAUGCGGCCGUCAUCUUCACCCGGAUCGGAUGCGAGCUGACCAAAAUUUUACUUUACAGGAAGUUCAAGGAGGAAAAGAGAAGCCUAAUUACUGCAAUAGCGGUAUUCUUCACGUGUAUCACUAUAGCAGGAGUUGCGUACACUUUCGCGAUACAAACUCCCGCGUUAAAACUGGAGCACAUUCUGAGUUCGCUGACGAUCAUGCUGGCAGUCACCGAAGUGACCUUUGGAAUGCUGCAACUGAUAAACGCUUGCUGCAGGAGAGAUUCGUAUUACUAAAUAAACAAUGUGCGUUACUACUUUUUGUUUAUUUAAGCAUACCGAGAUUUCAACAAGAAGUUAUUCACUAUUUUAUAGCAAAACUAUGGUUACUUCCUCACAAACUUUUUAUAAUGCUCCAAACAUGAUUGAAGUUUCUCUAGCAGCUUCCAUUUAAAUCUAGACUAAAAAUUAAAAUUCCGGCAAAAUCCUUGUGUUCGUUUUAUUAUGGGUCUUCGAAAAUAUGACUGUGUAUCUGCUGCAUAUCAUCAACUUAAUUGGUUUAAAAUGGAACAAAGAAGAGCUUUUCAUUUCAACGUAUUCGUUAUGAAAAUUAUCCAUAACCUCGAUUCACCCACUUUGCUGAGAGAGCGGCUUACUCCUGGGAGUACUAUCCAUUCUGUGAAUGUAAGAUACAGGUACAGACUAACGAUGCCACAUCAUCAGAGUGCCUUGUUUCGUAGAUCUUUCACAUUCAACGCAAUUCGUGUUUUCAAUUCUUUGUCACAGGAGUUCAGUAACUAAAAAAAGGUACAAAGAUCAUUUGUUACAAAUACAGUUUUCCUAAUAAUGUGAUGCUAAUUAGGUUAUUAGCAAGGGAUUAUAUUGAGUUAUCAAAUUCUUUAUCUUCAAUUGCAUUUUCUAUAGUGUGUAGUAGAAUCUUGUUGUUCUUCCGAUUUUGCAGGUAUUUUUCAUAUUUUAUUUGAUGUUGAUGUUGAUUUUUAUUUCAAUAAAUAGUGCGCA